GAUGAACGCUAGCGGGAGGCCUAACACAUGCAAGCCGAGCGGUAUUGUUUCUUCGGAAAUGAGAGAGCGGCGUACGGGUGCGGAACACGUGUGCAACCUGCCUUUAUCUGGGGGAUAGCCUUUCGAAAGGAAGAUUAAUACUCCAUAAUAUAUUGAUUGGCAUCAAUUAAUAUUGAAAGCUCCGGCGGAUAGAGAUGGGCACGCGCAAGAUUAGCUAGUUGGUGAGGUAACGGCUCACCAAGGCGAUGAUCUUUAGGGGGCCUGAGAGGGUGAUCCCCCACACUGGUACUGAGACACGGACCAGACUCCUACGGGAGGCAGCAGUGAGGAAUAUUGGUCAAUGGGUGCAAGCCUGAACCAGCCAUCCCGCGUGAAGGACGACUGCCCUAUGGGUUGUAAACUUCUUUUGUAUAGGGAUAAACCUACCCUCGUGAGGGUAGCUGAAGGUACUAUACGAAUAAGCACCGGCUAACUCCGUGCCAGCAGCCGCGGUAAUACGGAGGGUGCAAGCGUUAUCCGGAUUUAUUGGGUUUAAAGGGUCCGUAGGCGGACUUAUAAGUCAGUGGUGAAAGCCUGUCGCUUAACGAUAGAACUGCCAUUGAUACUGUAAGUCUUGAGUAUAUUUGAGGUAGCUGGAAUAAGUAGUGUAGCGGUGAAAUGCAUAGAUAUUACUUAGAACACCAAUUGCGAAGGCAGGUUACCAAGAUAUAACUGACGCUGAGGGACGAAAGCGUGGGGAGCGAACAGGAUUAGAUACCCUGGUAGUCCACGCCGUAAACGAUGCUAACUCGUUUUUGGGCUUUAGGGUUCAGAGACCAAGCGAAAGUGAUAAGUUAGCCACCUGGGGAGUACGCUCGCAAGAGUGGAACUCAAAGGAAUUGACGGGGGCCCGCACAAGCGGUGGAUUAUGUGGUUUAAUUCGAUGAUACGCGAGGAACCUUACCAAGACUUAAAUGGGAAUUGACAGCUUUAGAAAUAGAGCUUUCUUCGGACAAUUUUCAAGGUGCUGCAUGGUUGUCGUCAGCUCGUGCCGUGAGGUGUUAGGUUAAGUCCUGCAACGAGCGCAACCCCUGUCACUAGUUGCCAUCAUUCAGUUGGGGACUCUAGUGAGACUGCCUACGCAAGUAGAGAGGAAGGUGGGGAUGACGUCAAAUCAUCACGGCCCUUACGUCUUGGGCCACACACGUAAUACAAUGGCCGGUACAGAGGGCAGCUACACAGCGAUGUGAUGCAAAUCUCGAAAGCCGGUCUCAGUUCGGAUUGGAGUCUGCAACUCGACUCUAUGAAGCUGGAAUCGCUAGUAAUCGCGCAUCAGCCAUGGCGCGGUGAAUACGUUCCCGGGCCU
rnacentral:rRNA from 1 species